GAUGAACGCUGGCGGCGUGCCUAAUACAUGCAAGUCGAGCGAACAGACGAGGAGCUUGCUCCUCUGACGUUAGCGGCGGACGGGUGAGUAACACGUGGAUAACCUACCUAUAAGACUGGGAUAACUUCGGGAAACCGGAGCUAAUACCGGAUAAUAUAUUGAACCGCAUGGUUCAAUAGUGAAAGACGGUUUUGCUGUCACUUAUAGAUGGAUCCGCGCCGCAUUAGCUAGUUGGUAAGGUAACGGCUUACCAUGGCGACGAUGCGUAGCCGCCCUGAGAGGGAGGGCGGCCACACUGGAACUGGGACGCGGUCCAGACUCCUGCGGGAGGCAGCAGUAGGGAGUCUUCCGCAAUGGGCAAAAGCCUGAGGGAGCAUCGCCGCGUGAGUGAUGAAGGUGUUGCGAUCGUAAAACUCUUUUAUGAGGGAAAAACAAAUGUGUAAGGAACUAUGGACGUCUUGACGGUACCUAAUAAGAAAACAACGGCUAACUACGUG
rnacentral:rRNA from 1 species